UACGUAGGGGGCUAGCGUUGUUCGGAAUUACUGGGCGUAAAGCGCGCGCAGGCGGCUAUCCAAGUCAGUGGUGAAAGCCCGGAGCUCAACUCCGGAACUGCCAUUGAAACUGUUUAGCUUGAGGAUGAGAGAGGUGAGUGGAAUUCCCAGUGUAGAGGUGAAAUUCGUAGAUAUUCGGAGGAACACCAGUGGCGAAGGCGACACACUGGCGCGUUACUGACGCUGAGGCGCGAAAGCGUGGGGAGCAAACAGG
rnacentral:rRNA from 1 species